rnacentral:rRNA from 1 species
UGGGGGAUAUUGCACAAUGGGCGAAAGCCUGAUGCAGCGACGCCGCGUGGGGGAUGAAGGCCUUCGGGUUGUAAACUUCUUUUGCUCUGAACAAGGCAUGCUAAUGGGUGUGUUGAGUGUAGGGGUUGAUUAGCGCCGGCUAACUACGUGCCAGCAGCCGCGGUAAUACGUAGGGCGCGAGCGUUGUCCGGAAUUAUCGGGCGUAAAGGGCUUGUAGGUGGCUGGUUGCGUCUGUCGUGAAAGCUCAUGGCUUAACUGUGGGUUUGCGGUGGGUACGGGCUGGCUUGAGUGCAGUAGGGGAGGCUGGAAUUCCUGGUGUAGCGGUGGAAUGCGCAGAUAUCAGGAGGAAUACCGGUGGCGAAGUCGGGUCUCUGGGCUGUUACUGACACUGAGGAGCGAAAGCAUGGGGAGCGAACAGG